rnacentral:rRNA from 1 species
UACGUAGGGGACUAGCGUUGUCCGGAAUCAUUGGGCGUAAAGAGCGUGUAGGCGGCCCCUCAAGUCCUGCGUGAAAUCUUGCGGCUCAACCGCAAGCGGUCGUGGGAAACUGAGAGGCUAGAGUGCGGGAGAGGAGAGUGGAAUUCCUGGUGUAGCGGUGAAAUGCGCAGAUAUCAGGAGGAACACCGGUGGCGAAGGCGGGAUCCUGGGCCAGUACUGACGCUGAGGAGCGAAAGCGUGGGGAGCAAACAGG